rnacentral:rRNA from 1 species
AGAGAAUAGAUACCCGGGUAGUCCAUGCUGUAAACGAUGAAGACUGGAUGUUGGAGGGUUAAAACUCUUCAGUAUCGAAAGCUAACGCGAUAAGUCUUCCGCCUGGGGAGUACGGCCGCAAGGCUAAAACUCAAAGGAAUUGACGGGGGCCGCACAAGCGGUGGAGCAUGUGGUUUAAUUCGAUGCAACGCGAAGAACCUUACCUACUCUUGACAUACCUAUGAAUCCCGAACGAGAUUUGGGUAGUGCCGAAAGGAGCAUAGAGACAGGUGCUGCAUGGCUGUCGUCAGCUCGUGUCGUGAGA